rnacentral:rRNA from 1 species
AUACGGAGGGUGCAAGCGCUAUUCGGAAUCACUGGGCGUAAAGGGUGCGUAGGCGGUUUGAUAAGUCUGAUGUGAAAUCCUAUGGCUCAACCAUAGAACUGCAUUGGAAACUGUCAGACUAGAAUACUGAAGGGGCAGAUGGAAUUAGUGGUGUAGGGGUAAAAUCCGUAGAUAUCACUAGGAAUACCGAAAGCGAAAGCGAUCUGCUGGGAAGUUAUUGACGCUGAGGCACGAAAGCGUGGGGAGCAAACGGGAUUAGAUACCCUAGUAGUCC